rnacentral:misc_RNA from 1 species
AGGUCUCCGUUGGUGAACCAGCGGAGGGAUCAUUACCGAAGUACUCUUCAUACCCUACUGUGAACCUUACCAUGUCAUUGCAGCGUUGCCUCGGCGCGAGGUCAGGUGGGAGGGGGGGCCCUGCGGCCGCCCCUUCUACCAGGCCCCCGCCGGCAUCGCCCAACUCUUCAUUUGCAAAGCGGACUGUAUAUUUCUGAUUGUCUUGAAAACAAGUUAAAACUUUCAACAACGGAUCUCUUGGCUCUGGCAUCGAUGAAGAACGCAGCGAAAUGCGAUAAGUAAUGCGAAUUGCAGAAUUCAGUGAAUCAUCGAAUCUUUGAACGCACAUUGCGCCCGGCAGCAAUCUGCCGGGCAUGCCUGUCCGAGCGUCAUUUCUGCCCUCGAGCGCGGUUCGGCCCCCUAGCGGGCCGCGCCGCCGCCCGGUGUUGGGGAUCUGCGGGUUCCGCCCGCAGGCCCUGAAAAGAAGUGGCGGCCCCGCCGCGGCGCCCCCUGCGUAGUAGUAAGACACCUCGCAUCGGGACCCGGCGGAGGCCAGCCGUCGAACCCAUCUCCUUGAGAAUGUUUGACCUCGGAUCAGGUAGGGAUACCCGCUGAACCUAAGCAUAUCAU